rnacentral:misc_RNA from 1 species
GUCCAGAACAAAUUACUCUAACACUACACGGCAUAAAUCAAUGCCUUCAAAUACAACGAAGAACAGGAAUUGCCAUCAUAAAUAACCAACUACUCGGCACAGGUGUUAUACAAUCUUACUGAAGAGAAAUGAUGUCUAGUUAACUUAAUCGUUCUCAGGCCGUACUGGCCCACCAGUACGGCCACAUAGCCUCUAAAUAGUUCACAAAACUGAACACUGACGCACCUU